UUGGAGGGCAAGUCUGGUGCCAGCAGCCGCGGUAAUUCCAGCUCCAAUAGCGUAUAUUAAAGUUGCUGCAGUUAAAAAGCUCGUAGUUGAAUUUCGGGACCAUCAUGUCGGUCGUGCCUCGGUACGUACUGGUAUUGUUGGUUUCUCCCUUCUGACGAACCAUGAUGUCAUUUAUUUGGUGUUGUGGGGAAUCAGGACUGUUACUUUGAAAAAAUUAGAGUGUUUAAAGCAGGCUUAUGUCUGAAUAUAUUAGCAUGGAAUAAUGAAAUAGGACGGCAUGGUUCUAUUUUGUUGGUUUCUAGGAUCACCGUAAUGAUUAAUAGGGAUAGUUGGGGGCAUUAGUAUUCAAUUGUCAGAGGUGAAAUUCUUGGAUUUAUUGAAGACUAACUUCUGCGAAAGCAUUUGCCAAGGAUGUUUUCAUUAAUCAAGAACGAAAGUUAGGGGAUCGAAGACGAUCAGAUACCGUCGUAGUCUUAACCAUAAACUAUGCCGACUAGGGAUCGGAUGAUGUUAAUUUUUUAAUGACUCAUUCGGCGCCUUACGGGAAAC
rnacentral:rRNA from 1 species